CUUUAUUUUUCUUGCCGUGAGGCGGGAGCCUGGGAGCCGUCCCGUGGGACCGGAAAGCAGCAAGAAUGUCUGCAGGAGGGAGAAGCGAGUGCAGCCGCAGAUAAAGCUCCAGCGCCUGUUAACACUUCUUGGGACUGGGCAGGGCUUGUCCUCUUCUUCUUACCUGGCACGGAAAGACAAAGACAACCCAGUUGGCUUUGGAAGGUUCAUGUUACCUCGUUUGUCACUUUGCACGGAAACAAUUGGCCUCACAGCAAUGGAAUCUGCAGUUUCCUCCAGGCAGGAGCUUCUCAGUGUGACUCAUGCUCACUUUUCCCGGGAGGGAAGGACCCCGAGUGAAGGAAAUUUAAUUAACUUUGUAAAAAAUGGACGCUUAAAUUACAUUAGGCAAACGCAUUUCUAAAUGCCUGCCGAAAUUUCCUCUUCCGAUCACUUAAAAUAACACAUGUCAAAAACUGAACUGGGUAUUUUCUCUCCUCUCGCUGAUUUCUCCGCUCAACUUACUAACAAAAAUAUUACCAUAGUCAUCCGGAUUUGCAGAUCUGAGGUCCUCUUGCCUUUGCUCUCUACCCUGCCUGGCACAUCCUACCUGCUAUGAAAUCCCUUCCGUUACUUCUUCACACCAUUUUUCACAGUGGUCUUUUCCUUUGUGUUUUCAUGGACACUGUCCUAGCUCAGGCAACGAUCUUUCUUCCCCUCACAUACAGUUGCAACGGAGAAGUCUGUUUUCUCUGGGUCCCCAAGGCCUCCUGCCCUCCAGUCCAGGGGACAUGUUGCUGCCAUCUUGUCAUAAGCUGAUCAUCUCAAUGAUAUGGCAUGAUUUUCUAUUCUCUAUAGCAAGAUGUGCACCUCCUUCGUCUGACAUUGAAGGUUCUGCAACAUCUUUAUUGACCAACUUUACUUGCCUUUUCGCUAUUCAAACUUCUUGCUUCAGUCAAAAUAACUACCAAAAAUUCCCUGAAAAUGCCUCAUCAUUUUUCUGCCUUUGUGCCAUGUGAUUCAUAAGACACUUUUCACCUGUCUAUUGAAAUUGUAUCCAUCCUUCGAAGUCCAGGCCAAGUGUCCCUUUAACUAUGAAUAUAUUCCCAGUCUCUCAGAGAAAAAGUUACAUUUCUUCCCUAGAAAUACCUAACACUUGCUUACAUGAGUUAGGUAUUUCUAGGGAAAUUAUUUCACAUAGUUAAUAAUUUGUCCAUAUAUCUUAUCUGUCCACAUCUCCUCUGACAUACCCUGAAAAA
rnacentral:lncRNA from 1 species